rnacentral:tRNA from 16 species
UAGCACAGCGGUAAAGCAUUCGGCUGGUGAGCCGGACGUCCCGGGUUCGAAUCCC